rnacentral:rRNA from 1 species
GACGAACCGUGCGAACGUUGUUCGGAAUCACUGGGCUUAAAGGGCGCGUAGGCGGCUAUGCAAGUCGGGGGUGAAAUCUUUCGGCUCAACCGGAAAAGUGCCUUCGAUACUGUAUAGCUAGAGGGAGGUAGGGGCAGACGGAACUUCCGGUGGAGCGGUGAAAUGCGUUGAUAUCGGAAGGAACGCCGGUGGCGAAAGCGGUCUGCUGGCCCUCUUCUGACGCUGAGGCGCGAAAGCCAGGGGAGCAAACGGG